rnacentral:rRNA from 1 species
AGGGCAUUUGGUGAAUGCCUUGGCAAUCAGAGGCGAAGAAGGACGUGGUACACUGCGAAAAGUUACGGGGAGUUGUGAACAAGCAUUGAUCCGUAAAUAUCCGAAUGGGGAAACCCACAGAGCAAUCUGUACUGUAUGAUGAAUAAAUAGUCAUGCAGGGCGAACGCAGGGAACUGAAACAUCUAAGUACCUGUAGGAAAGGAAAUCAACCGAGACUCCGAAAGUAGUGGCGAGCGAAAUCGGACCAGCCGAUGGAUAGUCAGUAAAGAAUCAGAAUUACCUGGAAAGGUAAGCCGGAGAGGGUGACAGCCCCGUACGAGUAGAAAAGCUGACUGUUCUUGAGUAAGGCGGAGCACGAGAAAUUCUGUCUGAAAAUGGGGAGACCACUCUCCAAGGCUAAGUACUACUGAUUGACCGAUAGUGAACAAGUACCGUGAGGGAAAGGUGAAAAGCACCCCUAUAAGGGGAGUGAAAGAGAACCUGAAACCGGAUGCCUACAAGCAGUCGGAGGGUCUAUAAGGCCUGACGGCGUACCUUUUGUAUAAUGGGUCAGCGACUUAAUUUAUGUAGCAAGCUUAAGCCGAUAGGUGUAGGCGUAGAGAAAUCGAGUGUUAACAGCGCGUUAAGUUACAUGAAUUAGACCCGAAACCGAGUGAUCUAGCCAUGAUCAGGUUGAAGGUUGGGUAACACCAACUGGAGGACCGAACCCACUCCCGUUGAAAAGGUAGGGGAUGAAUUGUGGCUAGGGGUGAAAGGCCAAUCAAACUCGGAAAUAGCUGGUUCUCCGCGAAAACUAUUUAGGUAGUGCGGUGAGCGGACACCUUGAGGGGUAGAGCACUGGAAGAGCUAAGGGGGAGCGAUCCUUACUAAACUUUACCAAACUCCGAAUACUCAAGAGUGAUACUCACCAGACAGACAUUAGGUGCUAAGGUCUAGUGUCGAGAGGGAAAGAGCCCAGACCGCCAAUUAAGGUCCCAAAAUUAUGGCUAAGUGGUAAAGGAAGUGAAACGUCCAAAACAGUCAGGAGGUUGGCUUAGAAGCAGCCAUCCUUUAAAGAAAGCGUAAUAGCUCACUGAUCUAAACAAGACGUCUUGCGCCGAAGAUGUAACGGGGCUAAAGCCAUAUACCGAAGUUGCGGAUUUACACGUUAAAGUGUAAGUGGUAGCGGAGCGUUCUGUAAGCCUGCGAAGGUGUACCGUAAGGUAUGCUGGAGGUAUCAGAAGUGAGAAUGCUGACAUGAGUAGCGAAAAGAAGAGUGAGAGACUCUUCCGCUGAAAGUCCAAGGUUUCCUGCGUAAAGCUAAUCUGCGCAGGGUUAGUCGGUCCCUAAGGCGAGGCAGAGAUGCGUAGUCGAUGGCAAUCAGGUUAAUAUUCCUGAACCGGCCCGGAAGUGACGGAUUGAGUAAAUUGUAAGUUCUUAUUGGAUUGAGCUUGCAGUGAAUCAGUCCCAGGAAAUAGCCCGGGCUAAGACCGUACCCGAAACCGACACAGGUGGACAGGUAGAGAAUACCAAAGCGCUUGAGAGAACUAUGUUGAAGGAACUAGGCAAAAUACUUGCGUAACUUCGGGAUAAGCAAGCCCCAUUUUAAGGCAACUUAGGGUGGGGGGCACAUACUAGGGGGUAGCGACUGUUUACUAAAAACACAGGGCUCUGCUAAAUUGAAAGAUGAAGUAUAGGGUCUGACGCCUGCCCGGUGCUGGAAGGUUAAGGAGAGAUGUGCAAGCAUUGAACUGAAGCCCCAGUAAACGGCGGCCGUAACUAUAACGGUCCUAAGGUAGCGAAAUUCCUUGUCGGGUAAGUUCCGACCUGCACGAAUGGCGUAACGACUUCCCCGCUGUCUCCAACAUAGGCUCAGCGAAAUUGAACUCUGAGUUAAGAUGCUCAGUACCCGCGGUUAGACGGAAAGACCCCGUGAACCUUUACUAUAGCUUUGCAGUGGUAUUAGGUAACAAAUGUGUAGAAUAGGUGGGAUGCUAUGAAGCUACGACGCCAGUUGUAGUGGAGCAGCUUUGAAAUACCACCCUUUUGUUGUUUGAUAUCUAACCUGCUCCCGUUAUCCGGGAGAGGGACCCUGCAUGGUGGGUAGUUUGACUGGGGCGGUCGCCUCCCAAAGAGUAACGGAGGCGCGCAAAGGUUGGCUCAGAUUGGUCAGAAAUCAAUCGUCGAGUGCAAUGGCAUAAGCCAGCCUGACUGCGAGAGAGACAUUUCGAGCAGAUACGAAAGUAGGUCAUAGUGAU